UACGUAGGGGGCGAGCGUUGUCCGGAUUUACUGGGCGUAAAACGCUUGUAGGUGGCCACGCCAAGUCGGACGUGAAAUCUCCCGGCUUAACUGGGAGGGGUCGUUCGAUACUGGCGGGCUCGAGGCAGGUAGGGGGAAGCGGAAUUCCCGGUGUAGUGGUGGAAUGCGUAGAUAUCGGGAGGAACAUCAGUGGCGAAGGCGGCCUUCUGGUCCAGUACUGACACUCAAGUGCGAAAGCGUGGGGAGCAAACAGG
rnacentral:rRNA from 1 species